rnacentral:lncRNA from 1 species
CUGCAGCUACAUAUGAGGGUCAUCCUGAAUUUAUCCAGCUUUUUGUCAAGGCUCUGGGCGGUAAAAUAACUGGAGCAAAUAAAAGUAUCUUGUUUCUUUGUGGGGUAAGCAAUCUUACUAUUCUGCUGAAUAAAAGGAUUUUGUUUCUUUGUUCAGGUUUUGUUGGUUAAUGAACUACACACUCGGGUCUCUUCAACAUCACAGUUUUGGUUAUUUUUACUUUUGCAGGAUUAUAUGGAAGACUAUGAAGUCAAAGUCCCUUUCCAGUCCCUUCAAGCUUUGGGAUGUCAAGUUGAUGCGGUUUGUCCAGAGAAGAAGGCUGGUGAUCGCUGCCCAACUGCAAUCCAUGACUUUGAGGGUGACCAAACUUACAGUGAGAAACCAGGCCACACUUUUGCUUUAACUACUAACUUUGAUGGCCUAGUUUCCUCGAGUUAUGAUGCUCUGGUCGUUCCUGGAGGCAGAGCACCAGAAUAUCUGGCCUUGAACGAACAUGUCCUUAACAUAGUUAAAGAGUUCAUGAAUUCUGAGAAACCAGUUGCGUCUAUUUGCCACGGACAACAGAUCUUAGCUGCUGCUGGUGUCCUCAAGGUCAGUAUUGUUCCUUCGUAGCCCCAAUGUAUUUAUCUGUGUCCUCCUUUUUCUUGCCACUACAAGUAGUUUGAGGAAUUUACUCUAUGUGACCUGAUCACUGGCUGGUGCAGGGAAGGAAAUGCACUGCUUAUCCAGCCGUGAAACUGAACGUGGUACUGGGAGGAGGAACUUGGUUAGAACCAGAUCCAAUCCACCGAUGCUUCACUGACGGAAAUCUGGUAACUGGCGCAGCAUGGCCUGGACACCCAGAGUUUGUGUCACAGCUAAUGGCUUUGUUGGGAAUUCAGGUCUCAUUCUAAGUUCCAUGUUAUGAAAAGAAUCCGUCAAACACACUUGUCUACUAUGUAAUGUGUGUAAUGGUGUAUGGUAAAUGUUACUGUGAAAAAAUCACUUGAGUUUCAUGAAGAACCCCACUGUUGAUGCUUUUAUUAUGGUGAGAAUGAUUUCUAUAAGACUUGUGCUAGUUCUCAAGGUCCUCCCAUAAUUCUCUUCAACAAUGGCAAAUUUCGGCAACAAUGCCUUGUUCUCAGGUUAAAUGAAAUGGAUAUUUCAAGUUCUGCUUCCCAUACAUAAAUAUCAAAAAAGGAAUAUUGUUUUGCAGAAAAGUAAAACAAAUUAUGUCUCAUCUACAGAAAUAGCAUAUGAUUGAACCGAAAUUACCCGGUGACCCAACAGUAAAACCGAAACAAAUCGGAUCAGGGCCCAUGAGUAAAGACGGAUAAAAGAGCAUAAUAAAAUAUAUUAAAAUCUGGCUAUAGUUUAUUAAAGACCUUGAGGUUUUUUUUCUUAUCCCUUGCUGAAUAAGUCAGAGACGAAAAGGAGCAAACCCUAAUUUCCGAUGAUGCCGCCGAAUAUGAGAUCAGUCAUGUCGCUGGUAAAUCGAAAAAUAAUAAUGAAUAUGCGUGGAGGGAGAUCGAUGGGGGCUCGCCGUAAUUUCUGUUCAACACCUGAAAGCAGCAAUGGUAAGGUUUCCGCUAUCUAAUUGGCGAGCGUGGGGCUUCGAUGUAUUUGUAUUCGGAGGGGAAACAAAAAAUCUUUGAUAUGUUUUUGUAUGUAAUUGUAGAUUCCCUUCCAAGAGAAAUUGUAGAUUCCCUUCCAAGAGAAAUGGCUAUAUGGUUGGUAAGUCGAGGUGUAGGAGUGGCUGUGGGAUAUGGCUUAGGUAUGGAGAGAUUUUAUCCUCUUAAAUUUGUCAUCGACCGAUUCUCGAAUUAAUUAUCCUCUUAAAUUUGUCAUCGACCGAUUCUCGAAUUAAAUUUGUCAUCGACCGACCGAUACUUGAGAAGAAGAUGGAACGGGUAAAAACAUAAUCAAGAAGCACUUGGAAUGACAUUGUGACCAGUCCUAUUAUUUCAUCAUUUUUAUCUUUUGUUUUCAGAAAUCGAGGAGGAAGAAGCAGCAAUAAAUCCUAAUUAUGAUGAAGCUUUUAAUAAAUCCUAAUCUGCUUCUAAUAAAUCCUAAUUAUGAUGAAGCUUUUGUAUCCGUAAAUCAAGCCUUUUGCUAAAGAGGAUAUAUGUUUAAUAAAAGGAAGAAAAUUCAAGUAUUAUGGUUAUGGACAUGAUCAGUGGAUUUGGUAGGCUUGACUAUAAUGAUUUGGGCAUUUCAGUUUACUUUGUAUCAUCGAACAUUCAAGUAUCAUGUCAAGUAUCAUCGAACACCUUAAAAUUUAGAAUUUUACCUUUUUGGUUUUACACAUAGAUUCUCGAUGACACCAGGGCCCAGAGAAAUGAAACAUGGGCCCAACAGUAUAGGCUGAGAAACGAUAACGCAACGUAGGCCCGUUUUUAUGUUAUACUAUAACUUUGUGAAAAAAGCAGAGGCGAAAAAGAGCCAACCUAUCUAAUUUUCGAUCAUGCAAAGUCUGUAUACGUGUUUAGUUUUUGUUUGGUUCUGUCAUGGAUCCUGUGGACUAAAUUAAUCUAUGGGUUGCAUUUUAUAGUGGUAGCUUUUUUCCUUGUUACGUACACAGAUUUAAAGGUAUAAGCUACAAACACGGUGCAUCUUUUUUUUUUUACUUCCAUCAGCAAAUAAAAGGAUCUUGUUUCUUUGUGGAGUAAGCAAUCUUACCAUUCUGUGGAGUAAAUCUUUUAUUGAUGGCCAUGUCUUUUCAUUAGUUCUGCUUACGAUAUUGAUUUAGAUUGUACUUCAUAUAUCAGAG